rnacentral:rRNA from 1 species
UGAGCAAUCUGCCCUUCACAUCGGAAUAACCAUUGGAAACGAUGGCUAAUACCGAAUAUGACUUCGGAUCGCAUGAUCUGAAGUGGAAAGCUCCGGCGGUGAAGGAUGAGCUCGCGGCCUAUCAGCUUGUUGGUGAGGUAAUAGCUCACCAAGGCGAUGACGGGUAGCCGGCCUGAGAGGGUGAUCGGCCACACGUGGGA